UCCCUGAUGGCUCAGAUGGUAAAGCAUCUGCCUACAAUGCAGGAGACCCAGGUUUGAUCCCUGGGUUGGGAA
rnacentral:tRNA from 1 species